UAAGAGAAUCCCAGUUAAGCCUUCUGCUCCAACCCAACACCACAUCAGAUUACGCAAGGCUUAUUUCUUCAGUUUUUACAGAUUUCCUGGAGCAAAAACUCACAAUUGGUAACUUCUCCAGUUAAUGAAGACGCUCUUUCUGAUACGAAUCAUCAGUCAACCCAAGAAAAGGUGUCUCACCUUCAACUCAACUUCAGAAUUCUUCCAACACUCCUCAAGUCAUUGCUCCAGCAGGGUAAGCCAGCUGAAUGCCAUGCUCAGCAUCAGGACGGUUUUCAAUAGCCUUUCCGGAUGGUGAGCACUGCCAGGAAUAGCUCCAGGUGUUCCCUGACAGGAAAAGCAAAUCUUGCCAAAAAGACAUCUCACUCAGUGAUCAUUUUACUACACUGGAGAGGCUGAAGCAUGCUGUCUUUAAAGAAAAGUAAAGGGCUGGAGAGAUGGCUUAGUGGGAUUCAGGCACCAACCAACUCAGUGUGUAGUACGAAGCAAGAGCUGCCAGGCAAAGCCUUGAGAGAGACUCACCGCCAACUGUCUGCUUCCAGUUCACUAUUUACAGACCAACCUGUGGCUGGGCCCAGCGAACACUAGGGCUGACCCUUGUAGCUGGACCUCUUCACUCAUGGAUUGGCUUUCAGUCGGAAGCCAUUUGUUCAUUUUCGCAUAAGAUAAUAAUAAUAAAAAAAAAUGUUCUGUGGAUAUCUGUAACCAGUACAGCUUUCCACAUAGCACACGUACCAGCUGAGCAUUGAUUUUCUCCAGACACGGACCCCUAGGUGUGGUGGUGCUGAGGCGGGAGGGCCUCAGUCUGGCCAGCCUGGGCUACACAGUGAGACCUCGUUAGAAAAUAAAGCAAGAAACAAAGACACAUGCACAAAAAGGGUAAA